CCGGAAGGGAGCCAAGCUUGAGCCAUCUUGAUGGGAUGCAGCACACUAGACGGUACCACCAGAGGCUUGGAAAAGGCCAACUGGGCUGGGGCAGUGGCUUGAUCAAGGUUCAAUGAAGCCUCAAAUUCCUGGGCUCAAGAGAUCCUCCAGCCUCAGCCUCCUGAGUAGCUUGGAUGACAGAUGACUGCAAGGUGCAAAUUGUUUACUGAAGAAAUUCAUCAUAUAGCCGGUCAAGUGUUUGGAUUCUGUUAGAAGAUUGAGAACAAGACCCUGCAGUGGAUGGAUCAGGUAACACCACCCAGACCAGUAAUCUGGCUCAACCAGUUCUGCCAUCCCACCCAGGAACAAAGGCAGCAAAAAAACUUCACUUCGACCCCCUAUGAUUCCAUCUCCAACCUGACCAAUCCACAUUCGCCACUUCCCAAGCCCCUACCCAUCAAAUUAUCUUUAAAAUCUCCAAUCCCCGAAUGCUCAGGGAGACUGAUUUGAGUAAUAAUAAAA